rnacentral:rRNA from 1 species
AGAGUUGAUCCUGGCUCAGAUUGAACGCUGGCGGUAGGCCUAACACACGCAUGUCGAGGGGUAACAGGAGAUAGUUUACUAUUUUGCUYGACKACCGGCGAACGGGUGAGUAACGCGUAGGAAUCUGCCUCAAAGCGGGGGAUAGCCCGGGGAAACUCGGAUUAAUACCGCAUAUAUUCUAAGGAAUAAAGAUGCCUUUUGGUGUCGCUUUGAGAUGAGCCUGCGUCCGAUUAGCUUGUUGGUAAGGUAAAAGCUUACCAAGGCGACGAUCGGUAGCUGGUCUGAGAGGACGUACAGCCACACUGGGACUGAGACACGGCCCAGACUCCUACGGGAGGCAGCAGUGGGGAAUAUUGCGCAAUGGGGGCAACCCUGACGCAGCCAUACCGCGUGGAUGAAGAAGGCCUUAGGGUCGUAAAGUCCUUUCAGCAAGGAAAAAAACCUUGGCAUUAAUAGUGUCGGGGCUUGAUGUUACUUGCAGAAGAAGCACCGGCUAACUCCGUGCCAGCAGCCGCGGUAAUACGGAGGGUGCAAGCGUUAAUCGGAAUCACUGGGCGUAAAGAGUAUGUAGGUGGUAGUGAAAGUUGGAUGUGAAAGCCCUGGGCUUAACCGAGGAAUUGCAUCCAAAACUUCACAACUAGAGUAUGGUAGAGGGUGGCGGAAUUUCCGGUGUAGCGGUGAAAUGCGUAGAUAUCGGAAGGAACACCAAUGGCGAAGGCAGCUGCCUGGAUCAUACUGACACUGAGAUACGAAAGCGUGGGUAGCAACAGGAUUAGAUACCUGGUAGUCCACGCCGUAAACGAUGUCUACUAGCUGUUGCCUUGUUACUUUGUAACAAGGUUGUGGCGUAGCUAACGCGAUAAGUAGACCGCCUGGGGAGUACGGCCGCAAGGUUAAAACUCAAAUGAAUUGACGGGGACCCGCACAAGCGGUGGAGCAUGUGGUUUAAUUCGAUGCAACGCGAAGAACCUUACCUACUCUUGACAUCUUCGGAAGAUCUUGUAAUGAGAUUGUGCCUUCGGGAACCGGAUGACAGGUGCUGCAUGGCUGUCGUCAGCUCGUGUUGUGAAAUGUUGGGUUAAGUCCCGCAACGAGCGCAACCCUAAUUACUAGUUGCCAUCAGUUCGGCUGGGAACUUUAGUAAAACUGCCGGUGAUAAACCGUGAGGAAGGUUGGGAUGACGUCAAGUCAUCAUGGCUCUUACGAGUAGGGCUACACACGUGCUACAAUGGGAAGUACAGAGGGUUACGAUGCCGCGAGGUUGAGUCAAUCCCAGAAAGCUUCUCUUAGUCCGGAUCGCAGUCUGCAACUCGACUGCGUGAAGUCGGAAUCGCUAGUAAUCGCGAAUCAGAAUGUCGCGGUGAAUACGUUCUCGGGUCUUGUACACACCGCCCGUCAAACCAUGGAAGURGRUUGCACCAGAAGCAGCUUGUUUAACCUUCGGGAAAACGRUUACACGGUGUGGUUCGUGACUGGGGUUAAGUCGUAACAAGGUAACC